AAUAUAUUAAUGUGACAAUACAAAGUAUGUUGUUGUGGUUCAUUGGGCAUUUUUAGGUGGGUAUAUGGAAAUCCUGAAGCCGUCUUAGUGGGUAUACUGCUCAUACCUGUGUAUCACGUAGAAUUCACCAAUG